CUAAAUCUAAAAUAUAUAUAUAAUUUAAUAAUAAAAAAAUACACUAAAAAAUACACUAUCAAUCUGGAGGCCCUUCUUUAAUGCCGACGUUUCAUUUUCCUUGGCGUCUUUUCGGUUUUAGGUUGCGUUUGGAAUGAGGAAAAAUAAUAUAUAUUUUAAAUUUUUUCAUAUUAAUUAGAUUUAAAAAAAAAANAUGAGGAAAAAUAAUAUAUAUUUUAAAUUUUUUCAUAUUAAUUAGAUUUAAAAAAAAAAAAAUAGGCCCCCAAAAUUUUGGGGCCCAGUUCCAUAGGGCCUGUUGCGCCUGUGAAAGGCCGGCCCUG
rnacentral:lncRNA from 1 species